AAGAGAGGGCCCGGUGCCUGGCCCGGAAUAGACCCCCACGGAUGUUUGUUGAAUGACAGAAGGAAAUGCAGAGCCGGCUGCAGGGGCGGAGUGUCUGGCACAAGCCCCGCCCACCACCCACCAGCUGCCAGCUCAGAGCCAAGCCUGGGUUUCCACAUCUGCCGGGAAUGCUGGGAGGCCCCGGCGUCCCCCAAGGGCCCCAGACUGAGACAGGCACACGGAUGUUCUCAGCGGCAGGUACUUCUGAGCCAGAUGUUCAACCACAAUGAAGAGAUUUGGCAAACACAACAGCAAAAUCACCAACAGUAAAAGACCCAGGAUGCCCAGUUCAAUUUGAAUUUGAGAUAUGCAACAAGGAAGCUUUUAGUAUAUUUCUUGAGCACCUACUAUUUGCCCAGGCAUGAUUCUUGGCAUGGAGCGCGGGGAGAUACACCAGAAAACAAGACAAAAAGCCUUGCUCUCAUGGAGCUGACGGUUUAGCAGGGGCGACAGAUAUCAGACAUGUCAAGAUAAUUUCAAGUGGGAAAAGUAUUAGGAUUGAGAUAAAGCAGGGGGUGGUGAUGGAACGUGAUUUUUUUCGGGGCCCCUAAGGACAGGGCAGUCCAGGAAGGCAUCCCUGAAGACGUCGAGGUCGUGGGAGAACAGACCCAAACGGAGUCUGUAGAGAAGCUGGUCGUCUGGGACAGCUAUGGGGAAAGUGCUCCAGGCAAUAGGAUCAGCAAGUGCAAAUGCCCUGGGGACAGAGCAAGCUGGACAGUGGGAGAAGGUGUUGGAAUUCAGUGAAUCAGAGAGAGCCUGGUGGGGCCGAGGGGGCUGUGAGCGAAUCAUGUAGUGCUGUGUGUGCGGGUCACAGCUGGGGACUCUCUGGGUUCCGUGAGUCACCUCCUGCAAGAAAGCUCCCCCGAUGACUCUGACUGAACUAGCCCUGUUUCCAUUCUUCUUCCUGCUCAUUGCCAUGUGGCAUCAUCGUCUCUGUGCAUAAGAUGUAUUGUCUGUCUUUCUCCAUAAUUACAACAUCAGCUGGCCAGAGUCACCUCCUGCCUGCCAUGUGGCAUGGAAAAUGUGGCCGCAGGGACCCGAGCCUGGGUGCCGUCGACGGAUGGCAGGGAAAAUAGGUCCUGUGCUUUGUGGAUUGUGGUUCUGACUCGAUUUCAGCCUCACGAGCCAACUCUGGGACCCAAGCCCUGAGUACGACGAAAUUGUCCCGAAAUAAUGUUAAUAAUCGUGGCUAACUUUCUUUGGAUGCUUGCUGUCUGCCGGGCACUGUGCUAAGCACUUUUUUAAAUUAUGGUAUAACACACACAAAAUUCACUGUUUUGAACUGUGCGAUUCAGUGGCAUUCAGUACAUUCACAGUGUUGUGCAACCACCCCACUCUCCAGUUUCCAGAACAUUCCCAUCACUCCUCAAGGCAGCUCUGUACCAUUAGACAGUCACUCCCCGUUCCCCCUCCCUCUGGCCUCUGGAAACCACUAACCUACUUUCUGUCUCUACAGAUUUGCCAUCUCUGGGUAUUUCACGUUAAUGGAAUCACCCAGCAUGUGGCUUUUUGUGUCUGGCUUCUUUCCCGUGCUCUUCCACGUUGCAAGCACGUAUCUGCGCUCCAGUCCUUUUUAUUGCACAAUAAUAAUCUAUUAUAUGGAUAUACCACAUUUUUUAAAUUCAUUCAUCAGCUGAUGGAGAUUUGUUUCCACUUCUAGCCUAUUAUGAAUGGUGCUGCUGUGAACAUGUAUGUGCAAAUUUUUCUUUGCAUCCUGUUUUCAGUUCUUUCGGAUAUAGAACAAGGAGUGGAAUCGCUAGGUCACAUGGUAACUCUAUGUUUAAUUUAUGGAGGAGAAGCCAGCUAAGCACUUUUUCAGGUGUCCACGAGCUUGGCGAAUUCUCACCACCAGCUCAUUGAAAGGGGCUCUGCAUUGCCCCAUUCUGCAGAUAGGGAAACUGAGGCUCAGAAAGCGGAAU